GACGAAGGUGGCGACCGUUGUUCGGAAUUACUGGGCAUAAAGCGCACGUAGGCGGCAAUGUAAGUCAGGUGUGAAAUCCCCCGGCCCAACCGGGGAAUUGCGCUUGAUACUGUGUUGCUUGAGGGCAGGAGGGGACCGUGGAAUUCCUGGUGGAGCGGUGAAAUGCGUUGAUAUCUGGAGGAAUACCGGUGGCGAAGGCGGCAUCCUGGACCGAGAUUGACACUGAGGAGCGAAAGCCAGGGGAGCAAACGGG
rnacentral:rRNA from 1 species